rnacentral:rRNA from 1 species
UACGUAGGGUGCAAGCGUUGUCCGGAAUUAUUGGGCGUAAAGAGCUCGUAGGCGGUCUGUCGCGUCGGCUGUGAAAACCCGGGGCUCAACCCCGGGCCUGCAGUCGAUACGGGCAGACUAGAGUGCGGUAGGGGAGACUGGAAUUCCUGGUGUAGCGGUGAAAUGCGCAGAUAUCAGGAGGAACACCGGUGGCGAAGGCGGGUCUCUGGGCCGUAACUGACGCUGAGGCACGAAAGCUAGGGGAGCAAACAGG